CGCAAGUAUAUAAAACCGCAUGCGCGCCCUUCCUAGCUCUCUUUCUCAGCACGCGGCUGUUUGCGUGCAUUGUUGAAUAAAAAAUCUAAUCAAAUUAGCGCAUGAUGUAUAACACACGAGGGUCUGAUCACGCAGCGUCCAGACCACCAUGAGACAUGUGCUCUUCAAGAUCUGCACAUGAACACUCGAGUGUUGAUCAGAUUGAAGUGAGACCUUCUGAUGGAGCUGUUCGGGUGUUUGGUGAUAAACUGGUUGGAUGAUAUGAGUGUAGUGAUCUCGUGACCGCUUUACUCACGCGAGUAAAAAUGUUCACCGUUAUUGAAAUGGUGCUCUUCAAGAUCUGCACGUGAACACUCGAGUGUUGAUCAGAUUGAAGUGAGAUCUUCCGCUGGAGCUGUUCGGGGUGUUUGGUGAUAAACUGGAAUGAAGACACCCCACCGUGAUGUGAUGACAAAUGGAAAGAUGAGACAAAACUCAAAUGCAUGAAUUUAUUAAAGUAUCAAAGUCAUUUAAUAAAGAGUAUAAAACAA